GAUGAACGCUGGCGGCGUGCCUAAUACAUGCAAGUCGAGCGAACAGAUGAGGAGCUUGCUCCUCUGACGUUAGCGGCGGACGGGUGAGUAACACGUGGAUACCCUACCUAUAAGACUGGGAUCACUUCGGGAAACCGGAGCUAAUACCGGAUAAUAUAUUGAACCGCAUGGUUCAAUAGUGAAAGACGGUUUUGCUGUCACUUAUAGAUGGAUCCGCGCCGCAUUAGCUAGUUGGUAAGGUAACGGCUUACCAAGGCAACGAUGCGUAGCCGACGGGAGAGGGGGGUAGGCCACACUGGAGCGUAGACACGGUCCAUACGCCUGCGGGAGGCAGCAGUAGGGAAUCGUCCGCAAUGGGCGAAAGCCUGACGGAGCAACGCCGCGUGAGUGAUGAAGGUCUUCGGUUCGUAAAACUCUGUUAUUAGGUAAGAACAAAUGUGUAAGUAACUAUGCACGUCGUGACGGUACCUAAUCAGAAAGCCACGGCUAACUACGUG
rnacentral:rRNA from 1 species